GACGAACGCUGGCGGCGUGGAUUAGGCAUGCAAGUCGAACGACGGCGAGGAGCAAUCCUUGUACGGAGUGGCGAACGGGUGAGUAACACGUGAAUAAACUGUCCCUACAUUCUGGAUAAUUCACCGAAAGGUGUUGUAAUACAGGCGAGGACGGAGUUAAGGCACCUUAGCUUCAGGGAACGUGCAAGGGUAACUUUGGGCGGUGCAGGGAGGUAUUCGCGGCCUAUCAGUUAGUAGG
rnacentral:rRNA from 1 species